rnacentral:rRNA from 1 species
GUAGGGAAUAUUGGGCAAUGGAUGCAAGUCUGACCCAGCCAUGCCGCGUGGAGGAAGAAGGUCCUCUGGAUUGUAAACUCCUUUUUUGGGGGAAGAAUAGUUCUCUUGCGAGGGAAUGUGACGGUACCCUAAGAAUAAGCCACGGCUAACUACGUGCCAGCAGCCGCGGUAAUACGUAGGUGGCAAGCGUUGUCCGGAUUUAUUGGGUUUAAAGGGUGCGUAGGUGGUUUGAUAAGUCAGUGGUGAAAGCUGGUUGCUCAACAAUCAAGUUGCCAUUGAUACUGUCGGACUUGAGAGAAGUGGAGGUUCAUGGAAUGGAUGGUGUAGCGGUGAAAUGCAUAGAUAUCAUCCAGAACGUCGAUUGCGAAGGCAGUGGGCUGUACUUUAUCUGACACUGAGGCACGAAAGUGUGGGGAUCAAACAGGAUUAGAAACCCGGGUAGUCC